CGUUUGAAUCGUUGCAAGAGGAACGUAUCAAUGCAUCGGAAUCGCGUUUCUCUUCCUUCGACGUUUCGAGAGCAUCAUAGUUACCGGUAAGCGUGACACAAAGGUUAUUACGCUGGCACGAUAACAUCCGGGCAUAGCUGACGUGUUUGACUGACGAGCUCUCAGACGUCGCUGCAGGAGCACGCCAUUUGCGGACGGCCGGCUGAUACUUAUCUGCAGGUAAUUAGAACUUGGACCUGGAAUCACGCAUACAGUUUCCGCCGUUGUUCCAGGACUGCUUUCGCACAGUAACACUGACAAUGAUAAUUAUACACUUCCCCUGUACUUUGACAUGGUUGACGUGUAGUUUAUAGAAGCUUCGAUUCUGUGUAUCUUCAAGGGAAGUUUUUUCGAUUCGUAUAGAAGUUUAUAUUGGUUAAGUAUGUCGACUUUCGGUAUUACGCUGCGAAUGUCAACAAGAUGGACAGCGUAAGUAACGCUGAUACAACUGAAAUGAAGGUUACGUACCCGGUCUAUACAAUUUUGAGAUUAUGUUGUUUUUGGUAAUUACUAAGAGUAUACAAGUGCUCUGUUGACAAACUUGAUGAUCACCGAUGUUGACAUGGAUCAAGAUUGUAUUUACAAACAUCGACUAAAGUCAUUACACAGACUGGAAGCGAAAAGUAGGAAACUGUCGAGGAAAAGGCAGCCGGACACCUUUCUCGUUAAUAGAGAACGGCGGAACUCUUUCUAUCAACUUUCUAGUCCCGUCACGGCAAUUAGCAAAGUACUUGCACGUGCGGAUAAAUCCUCUCGUGGCAGAAGCGCGACUUAUUUAUGACCAUCCGCAUCCUAAGACCCGACUAAAGGGUUAAAAGCGAUACAAUGCCACGGUCGACAUUGUUUUGAUGCGGUCAGAACUGACGAAGAUCGGUGAAAAGAUGCAUAAACCCGCACGUCGUGUGCCAGCUUUCCAAAACGGAUGCUUCGGCGUGAAACCCGCUAGUCUUUCCAUCCGCUGACAUUUUCUCUUUUUCUUCAUCCUCGUUCUCCCUUCUCGUGGCCACCGCUGAUUAUCCAUCGACUAUUUCCAACGCUGCCUCCAGCUGGUUUUCGCCGUUUUUCCUCGAGAUUCUCUUGUUCGACGCACCAACGUUGGCCUCGGUUCGACAGAAGAUGAGCAUUCUCAAGGGAAGAACAAAGAGAAGGCAAGUUUUAAAUAAUUCUACGACGAACUCAGUCUAACAGAUACUGUACAGCUUCUUGGAUUUGUUAAAAUAGAUCAGACUCGAGUUUAGAAGUUAUUAACUCUGUUUCAGAAACCUUGCAACAGUAUGUUUGUUUCAAGUAAUUGCGCAAGUAUGUGUAUAGUAAGGUGCUUGUACGGUUUUUUCUAAGGGCUGAAUUAUAUUAUAAAGAGUGGAGAGUUUCGUGUCCUGCGCGUUAAAUGAACCUGUCCAAGGCAGGAGUCGUAAGAAAUGAAGAAGUCACGGGAACAGAGGAAGAAAUCAGUCAGUGCCUGCUCCAAGCACGAUGACUUUGACUCUAUCGACUCGUCUUCCGCUUAUCUAAAUCACUUAUCGAUAUCUUGCCCUGAUCCUGCUUUUCUUCAAUAUCCGAUCGCCGUCGAUCUUAAUAAUUGCACUUCUUCGUUUCGAUUUCAACGAUCCGUUGUGUAUCAAAAAGCAUACACGAAGAAGCUGCAUUCCAAACUCUACCAAAGUAACUAGACAAAAUAAGCCAUCUACUGGUUCCACUCGUCAAACUCUCCUCUUCGUCACGUGGAACAGUCGUUGGAAAACUGCAGAACAAUAAACCACCCCUUUGAUAUUCCUCUUAUUAUCAUUUUCGCCGGCCAAUAUUGUGUCGAAAAUAAUGCUCUAGUAGGAUUGAACGAUGAUUCGACAGUGCGGCCAUCGUUCGACGACGGUGACGAAGUCAGCAAGAGUGGAAAAGACUGGCAGGCGGAACGAAGACAGAGGCAGCGGGUACUCCCCGCGGAAAUCAACGGGGCUGCGAGCGUUUCGUUGAAAUUUCCGGCGUAUUGUCGGCGUUCGGCGGCCGUGAAUGAUCCGGAGCCACCAUCAACCCCUUUGUGAAGGAAGGGAGACGGCGAGGCGGGAACGAGGGCGAACCUGAUGGGAUAUGGGGAUGGCGACGCGUCCCUGGCGACGCCGCGACGCUGACAGCGUUCGGUCCCGGCGCCCUCUUCUCCCCGACUCUAUUUCCGCGUUUUCUUUGACACACCCCGGAUUAAAUGCUUCAGCUGUUUCUACAAACUUGCGAUCCGCAAUAUUCGCGUGAUCGAAUGGCGUUGGCCGAGUGCGAUGGUUGUUACCGAGGGACAAAAUGGUUGAUGGAACGAACGAAAUUGACGUUGCUUGAAAGAAUGAGAUUGCGAAUGGUUGA